GCGGCGGACGGGUGAGUAACACGUGGGUAACCUACCUAUAAGACUGGAAUAACUCCGGGAAACCGGGGCUAAUGCCGGAUAACAUUUAGAACCGCAUGGUUCUAAAGUGAAAGAUGGUUUUGCUAUCACUUAUAGAUGGACCCGCGCCGUAUUAGCUAGUUGGUAAGGUAACGGCUUACCAAGGCAACGAUACGUAGCCGACCUGAGAGGGUGAUCGGCCACACUGGAACUGAGACACGGUCCAGACUCCUACGGGAGGCAGCAGUAGGGAAUCUUCCGCAAUGGGCGAAAGCCUGACGGAGCAACGCCGCGUGAGUGAUGAAGGUCUUCGGAUCGUAAAACUCUGUUAUUAGGGAAGAACAAAUGUGUAAGUAACUAUGCACGUCUUGACGGUACCUAAUCAGAAAGCCACGGCUAACUACGUGCCAGCAGCCGCGGUAAUACGUAGGUGGCAAGCGUUAUCCGGAAUUAUUGGGCGUAAAGCGCGCGUAGGCGGUUUCUUAAGUCUGAUGUGAAAGCCCACGGCUCAACCGUGGAGGGUCAUUGGAAACUGGGAAACUUGAGUGCAGAAGAGGAAAGUGGAAUUCCAUGUGUAGCGGUGAAAUGCGCAGAGAUAUGGAGGAACACCAGUGGCGAAGGCGACUUU
rnacentral:rRNA from 1 species